AGAGUGUGAUGUUCCCCUUCUUGUGUCCAUGUGAUCUCAUUGUUCAAUUCCCACCUAAGAGUGAGAAUAUGCGGUGUUUGGUUUUUUGUUCUUGCGAUAGUUUACUGAGAAUGAUGAUUUCCAAUUUCAUCCAUAUCGCUACAAAGGACAUGAACUCAUCAUUUUUUAUGGCUGCAUAGUAUUCCAUGGUGUAUAUGUGCCACAUUUUCUUAAUCCAGUCUAUCGCUGCUAUAAAGACACAUGCACACGUAUGUUUAUUGUGGCAUUAUUCACAAUAGCAAAGACUUGGAACCAACCCAAAUGUCCAACAAUGAGAGACUGGAUUAAGAAUUAUGUAUUCUGGAUACUGGACCCUUAUCAGAUGUAUUUGCAAAUGUUUCCCAUUGUGUAAGUUUUUACUUUCUUUGCAGUGUCCUUUGAUGUAAAAAUAGUUUAAACUUUUGAUGGAGACCAAUUUAUCUGUUUUUUCUUUGAUUGCUUAUGCUUUUAGUGUCAUACCUGAGAAUCCAUGAUCAAAUUCAAGGUCAUUGGGAUUUACCCCUAUGUUUUCUGAGUUUAUCUGAUGACACUUUUGUGGAAUAAAAGUGCUCCGAUGUGAGAAUAUAUACAGUCAUGUGCAGUGGGCUUAUGGAGUGCUUGCUCCAGAAGCAUGAAAUCACACUCAACUUAGCAUCUAACCAGGAGAUAGCCCCAUGACUGUGGUCAUUGACCAUAUCACAUAAUUCAUGAUCCAGGAUCAACCAGCCUGAUAGUGUUGGAAUAGCCUGCUAAAAGCACAUUUGAAGCACCAGCACAGAGGCAAUACCCAUGACAGUGGGGUGCCAUUUUCCUGAAUGCCACAUGCACAUUGAAUUUGAAUUUGAAACUUCUAUAGAGUAUUGUGUUCCCAAAAGGAAAAACUAAUCGGCCUGGGAAAAGAGAGAUGAAAACAGGAGUGGCCUCAUUUACCAUCACUCCCAGUGACUCACUAUGGAUUUUGUGCUUCCCAUCCUUACAGUUUGGGGUUCUGCUUGAUUACCAUUCUGAUCUCCAAAGGAGGCUUAUUCUUAUCUGGGGCAGAGCAAGGGUUUUAUUGAACUACAAGCUGUGGCUGCUGUUGAGGCAUUUUGGAGUCUUUAAGCACCAAGCGGGCAGGAAGGAGUUGCCCUUUUUGCAGGGGUAAUUUAUCCUGAUAAAAAGGUAUGUAGGGCUGUUAUUACACAAUAGAAAUAGGAAUAUGUAUGAAACUCAGGUGAUCCACAUGGGCACCUUUGUGGUAAUUCCUUGUCCAAUUAUGACUGUGGAUGGACAAGUGCAGUGACCCCCACCUGAAAAAGUUACUGUUGUCUUGGUUUCAGACCCUUCAAGAAUGAGUGUGUGGGUCACACCACCAGAUAAUUCACCCAGACCUGCAAAGGUAGGUGAUAGCUGCUAAGACAAUUCAGAAUGGAUGGUUGGAGAGAGAGAUGAAUACCAGUUGUGGCCCCAAGACCAACUGCAGUGAUGUGGCUGAGUUUGACCCACUAACCUUUCUUUUUUAAAAGUCUUACCCUCAGGAUGAGAGGCCCACUGAGGAGUAGCUCCCAGGAUAUGCAUGGAGAAGUGGAUUGAUUUGGUACAAGGGGUGAAAAGUGGCAGUUAUGAAGUGUGCUAUUUAGAUCUCCAAAAGAUAACCAUCCACAGGGAGUGCAGUUAUCUGACAGCACCAGUUGCAGAUACCCUCAGGAUCUUCCUUCAGUGUCCACACCAAUGAGCUGAGGCCAUUCAUUCUGGGCAGUCCACAGGCAAUGACUGCACAUGGUGUUGGUAUCAGGGCUCAUCGUUUCCAGCUAGUGUGAGACUCCUCCUCUAUGGGCAGUCUUGGUGUUGGAGCUCACUGCUAAAUUGGUUGAGACUUUCUCAGAAUGAGCACAGUCUGAGGCUCUUCCUACCUAAUCUUACUUCUCCUUUCAUGUGAGUCAAACCUAUAUCAGGGGCAGAAAUAUUUUUUUUCCUGCUUGUGCUCUCUCUCCUCUUUAUAUUUUAUAGGCAUUAUCUCCAACAAACAUCUCGUACUUUGAACUGCAUCUUGGCUUCUUCUUUCCAAAGGACCUCCUCUCCCAGACUUGCAUCAUCAUCACUGGUAGAUGAUAACUUAGGCUUGAAUAAAUUAAGUGGCUCACCUCAGGUCCCACAAAUGUUAAAUGGACUAUUUUUUCACAAUACUUAUUCUCAUACUGAAUAAUAUCCAUGAAAUCACGCAAUUGAUGUGCAAGUUAUAAUUCCCUAAUUCACAUUGAAAGUAUAACUAACUAUUAAAUUUAAAAUAAAAAACAAGACUAAGUCUGGUCAACUUAGUUAUCCCACACUGGAAAAGUACAUAAUAUCACAUUUUUUUUUUGUUGAGAAUUUGUUUGUUCUAUGAAAGCAUAUUUGGCCAAGAGUUAAUUUUUGAGAUUUAGUCAAUGUAGUCAUUCUGAAGAAAUGGAGUACCUAUCGUCUUACUGAGAAACCAAUUUCAAUGCUUAUGGCUGCCAGCCUGUGUUAGACACAUCCAUCAAAACAGCAAAGGAGAUAGUCCAGUUUUAUGCCCUCCAAGCCAAUAUUCUAUUCCUAUGGCCUCUAAAAUGGAGUAUGUGUACUUAAAGAAAUAUGCAAGAUAAUACACAGAGUGACAAAGGAAAUAUUUUAACUAUUUUGUGAACAUAAAAUUAAACUUUUACUAAUAGGUUGGUGCAAAAGGAAUUGCAGCUUUUGCCAUUACAUUCAAUAGCAAAAACCACAAUUACUUUUGAACCAACCAAAUACUUAAAAUAGGCGGACACCAGUUCAUAUAUUCCACAUGCAUAAACUAUGUAUGCUCAAAAAUGGAGACAACUGUUAAAACCUGCUGUCUAAAAUUAACAAAACACAAGCCUUCCAUUCUAGUGGAGAAGAGGACAAAUAUAAUAAAUUAAUGCUAUAUGCAUAUACACUAUACAUAAAGUAUGUCCUAAGAGCUAUGGAGAAAAAUGUAGAAAAGGAGAACAGGGAGUGCUAGUGUGAGAUUCAAGAUUAAAUGUGGUUCUGAGGUAGGACCUCACUGUAAAGGUGAUGACUAAGCAAAGACCCAAAGAGGGUGAGAAAGCCAGCUCUGUAGGUAACUUGAGAAAAAAGUGCUCCAGAGAGAGGAACUAGGAUUGUCCUUUUGCUAGGGGCACAGCCUAAUAAAAGUAUAACUAACGUCCUUUUUUGUUACAAAGCUGGACAUUCAAAACAUUAAACAUAUUAUAACCAAUUUUUGCCAGAGGUUGCAAGUGUUUUUUGUGAAAAAUCAGACCUUGGCGAUGACCUUGAGCAGUAGGAUAUAAAUAACUCCCACAAGCUUAAUGUUCCAAUAAUGGAACACUAGGCAUAGAUAGGUUAAAGAUCAUUGCUAUCCCCAUACUCUGGACCCCUGCCUGAUGAAUACAUUAAGCUGACACCUGAGACACUGAUUCACCAAUUAACAAACUUCAGGCAUGUUGUUAAUGAUAGAACCUUCAUGACAGUGAUCCAGAGUUCCAGAUUCUAGAGUAUUCAGAGGUGGAAAUUCAUAGUCCAUGCUCAAGAUCGAAUGGCAUCUCUCAGACUGGAAGACCUUUCUGAAGUCAGUUCCAGACAUCCCUGGAAGGCUGGAUAAUUUGGGAAAAGGCUGACUCAAUGUAAGCCCAACUUAUACAUGGCACUCCAAGGGGAUGCUUCAGCCAGAAAGUAAAGGGCUGAAAAAGUAGAACAAUACAAAAGCCCUCGUGUGGUGGGAACUGUGGCCUCACUCUUACUUGUCCUUCCAUUCAAAACAGUUUGGCACCUUUCCAUGACGAGGAUCUCUACAGGUAGGUUAAAAUACUUUUCUGUGCUAUUCAGCCAGAAAUAGUUUUUGUGCUGGAUAUGAUUUUAAAACAGAUUUUGUCUGUCACCAGUGCAAAAACAUUACAGAUGUCUGGGCUAAUACAAAAACACAUAAGAAUCUACAACUUUAUAUUUAAUACUCUAUUCAAAUUUAACUCAAAGUAAUGCAAAAUAAUUAGAAGUAAAAACUUAAUUCUUCUGAGAGCUCUAUUUGGAAAAGC
rnacentral:lncRNA from 1 species